UAAAUUAUUGAGAAGCGAUUAAUCGGAUAUUUUUAUCUGUCGGGAGGGCUCCGUUCGUAGUGGCUGACUCGUGCACGGUAUAUGCAUGAAACGACGCGUCGGUACGUUAAAUAUGGUAAUGAGUUUCAACGCAUAGAUUACCAAUAGUCAUCAAUUAUUCUGAAUAAUGGGAUGCAAAUAGGACGGACGCGUAGACAAUUAAUGUCACUAUUUGCACAGGCUUAUCCUUGGUACGUAGGCAGGACGGGCUCGGCGCAUACACGCCGGCUGACACUGCACGCAUAUUCGCCGAUCGUUGCCAACUAUAAACGGGUGACAAACGCGAUACGGAUCGUGUGUUUAUAAUAUAGUUUGUUCAAUUAUACGCUCUGUGUCAAUUGUUCAGAAUACUCCCUCGGUCUAUCAGAGUUCCCAGCGUGUUCACGCAAUCCUUCACGAAAUAUUUCUAUGGUAAACAAGAGGGUCCUUCGAACACGUAGGUGUCGGGGUCGGGGCGAAGGCGUCGUCGUUUCUCGAGCACGUUCGCGUGUAACCCCUUAAUUGGAGACGCAGGGUCCCGGCACAAAAAACACUAGCGAGACGUAUUCGCAAGAGAUAUUUCGACGAUGUCCCCUUGGGCGACGCGACGUCGCAUAUUUCGCCGCGAGGGUUUCACGUAUUUGAGAGCACUUAAACGAACUUAAUCCUGUCAGCUCUGAGUAACGAAACGUCGAAAAUGAAAAACUACAAGUCUGAGCAUCUGUUGCUUUUUUAAAUAUGCAUUGCCCGCAUUAAAUUGUCAUUAUUAUAGCUAUACGUACUUCGACCCUUAAUUUUUCGCUUUAUUCUACGACUCUGCGAAAAACCUACGAAAUUGUAUAAAUAAUAUCGAAAAUCUCUGUAUUUUUAAAACCUUCCGGUGGGAAAUUUUCUUUCGGUAACGAGGACGGCAUAAAUUAUGCGCUUAUUAAAAGAAAAAGGAAGCACAUGAUAUUUUAAGAACAGAAGAGAUUCUUACGGCAUUAAAAUGGUUUUACGUGGAACGGAAAUUCGUAGUCUGAAAUUUACGCACGUCUUACAGUUGCAAUAAUUGUAAAAUAGUGUCGCACGUUUGCACAUUGAUUUUACAUAAAUAUUCAUUAUUACGCAGAGAUUAUAUUCACGUAUUACGGCUAAAUCAGGUAUUGGACUGAAUAAUAAACUUGAAUAUUAAUGAAAUGUAUUAUGUUUACAAGAUAAUAUUUAACUAGUUAUGCAAAUGACGUUUUAGUUAUUUGUAUGAUAUUAAGAUUACCCCUCACGUUCCUCAAUGUACGCACACAUGUUUCAAAUACAAAAUCAUUCUACUCUCAUCAUAUAGGUUUACAAUUUUUUUGAAACGCUCUUACUGAAUAGUCUUAACACCUGGUUGGAAACCGGCGGCUUAUCAUCGUGCUUAAUGCCUCAUUAGCAUAGAACAUAUAUACGUUAUAGGUAAGUGAAUUUACUAUCUACAUAUACUUUUUACCAUUCUACCGCUGCCAGUGAUAAAUUACAACUAAAGACUAUGAUAUGCAGGAAAUAAGAUAAACCAAAAGGCAGUCGCAUUUUUAUGCCGUUUUACACUGCGAUGCAUUCUUACUUAAUUGAAAAACAUUAAUAAAUGAGGAAAUUAUAUAAACGUAUUUUCUUAGACCUCGUGCUUCGUGUAAAUUGCUAUUUUUCCGUAUUUACAUUACGAUAAAACGUGAGCAAUGUAAAAGUUUGAAGGACGGAGGAAAUGAGUUUAUAUAAUUUUUUGAAAACUAAGGAAAUAUUUCGAUCAUAAAUAAAAGGGGUCCUUCACCGCGGUUCGAAAUUGCUAACCGUGAUUCUUCACCGUGACCACAAGAUCAAGACUGAUUAUUCCAAAUUGUUCUACUUGACAAUCAGUUCCUUUCUUAUUUUGACAAAAGACGUAGUUAAAGAAUGGUUGUAAUAUUUUGUAAAUUGGAUCAUAGACUCGGAGGUACGUGUUUUUGAUUACACGUAUCUCAUCAUACUUAUCAACAAGGAUUGGAACAAAAAUUCCGUGACGUCCAAACGACUUGGCCAGGAGGAGUUAGACGAAGAAGAAUAGAUGCGUCGGGCAAAAAGGGAAGGAUGGGAGAUCGUUAAGUUGCCGAGGCCGAAGAGAGUGGAAGACGUAACGAAGGGAGAAUAAGCGAAAGACACACAAUCUCGGCUCAAGAAGACCGCGGAGGUCAAAGCGAAGAACACCAGGGCGGGUAGGAACAAAGGAACGGAUAAGGUGUAUAAGGCAAGAGGAGAAGAGCAGAGCAGUCGUUAAUGAUUGGUGCACCGGUUCGCGCGUACGUCCGUCAAAAGGGGUUUGACAUAACGGCUCUAAGCAAGGAGUUGAGAACUAGCGACCCCGGGCUUUAUCUACGCCAUGGCUCGGAUUAACGACACAAAGAGCCAACACGCUACGGCUACGGAAUUCGCGCUCUUUCACCGUCGACUUUCCCUCGCUUUGUUUCAACCGUUUUUCACGAAGUGUAGAUACGUCAAGAUAAUACGUCGAGAUAACAUCGAGUCGUACUAUCUGUAGUGGCUCCGUGCAUCGUCCAGGCGUCGGACGUCAGCGAAAUCAGUGCUGUAGCCUUUAGAAUAGACUAUUAGCGCUAAAUUAGGCGUGAUUAAUAUCGCCUGCUGAAGAGACUCGGUGUCCAAUAUUUGAGGAUUCCGGAAACAGAGUCUGUCGUUGCGAUUUACUAAGUGAAAACGAAUCGAAGGAGUGCUAUACCAUGGUAAUGUAUGGACGAAGUUUGUUACGACAAAUAACUAAUGGCCC